UUUUUUUUUCAAAUCCUUCAUUUUUAUAUCAUGAAAAAUAAAUUAUAUUAAUCAUAUAUAAUUCAAACAAAAUCUACAUUUCAAAUAACUUAUUUCUAAUAAUUUUAAAAUAUAAAUACAAUAAAUCAAAACUUUCCUCAACAUGCUAAUUUUAAUUACCUAGGUAGGUGAAAAAGGUCCAAAAUCGUCAAGCACACCUUCAAGUAAGGCUGCUGUACCGUAUAACUUAUUUCUAAUAAUUUUAAAAUAUAAAUACAAUAAAUCAAAACUUUCCUCAACAUGCUAAAUUUAAUUACCUAGGUAGGUGAAAAAGGUCCAAAAUCGUCAAGCACACCUUCAAGUAAGGCUGGUCGGCGACGUGGUCGGUGAUGGGCUGGUCGGCGAUGGGCGUGGCGUGACAGCGAUGAUGGCUGGUCAACGAUGGGCGCGGCGUGACAACAAGUUUCGUGGGUGAGUGACAGCCUGAGAGAAACAGCUUGCUAGUGGGUGAGUGAGAGAGACAGAUCGGGUGAGAGAGAGAGAGAGAGAGAGAGAGAGACGGAUAAAAUAAGCGAGUGAGAGGGACGGGUAAGAAUUUUGGAAUUUUCACAUUCUUUAGAUUCAAAUUCUUCUUCUUCCUAAUAAAUCAUUUCUAC
rnacentral:lncRNA from 1 species